UGUACUUUCCCCCCCAUAAAGUUAAUUAAUGGAAGAUAUUGAAUUAAGCUCUCAAUCGACAGCAUUGAUUUCAAAGGAACUGUUUAAACACUUCCCUUCAAGGUUCUGUUUAUUGAAAUAGGAUUGUUUGCUAAGGCUACUUGUACUGACCAGCAAUGCUUUUUGGCUAAGUAAAUGACACUGCCCUGACACUUGUUGCCCUUUCAGAGGAAGAGUCUGAGGAAGUCCUCGUCCCCGUCCCCCCCACCACCCAAAAAGGCUGAAGCCACACACGCAAAAGCUCCAGCCAAUGCAGAAGUCAGAUGAUGAUUACGGUAUGAAUAUCUCCCCAUACAUACUUUUUAUAUUUCUAUUGGAUACACAGUGAAAGUGUCAGGACAAUUAAUGAGGCUUGGACACUAGCCUCAGUGGUUUAUGGUUUGAACGAUUUACGUGACUACUAGUAACCCGGAUCCCCUCCAUUUCUUGGCACACCUGUAGUUGCUCAGUACUCACGUGUGAUUGUACGGAGGUAGAACAAAGCCAGUGCUAUGUCUUCGGUACCAGUGUGUGUUAUCGUCUGCUGGUCCUAUCCUCAAUCGCUGGCACACUUACAAAUAUGGAACGGGGCCUCAUUAAAUGGGCUCUAUGCAACACUCUUAAACGAUUUUAAGGAUGAAGAAUCUGAGGAGGAGGCCCCACCCCCAAAGAAGGCUGAAGGUCACGGCUGCCAAGGAGGAGUCUGACGACGAUGAUGAUGAGGACUCUGAGGAAGAGGAGAUGGAUACCACCCCGGCACCCGCAGCAAAGAAAGCAGGCAUGGUCAAGGCUAAGGAGGAGUCUGACGAUGAUGAGGCCCCAGCGACUCCUGCAAAAGAGGAAGGCCGACAGCAAGAAAGCCAAGUCCGGAAGCGAUGGAAGUUUGGCUACGUUGAAUUUGCCUCAGCGGAGGACAUGCAAGACGGCCUUGGAGCUGAACGGCAAGAAGUUCAUGGGACAGGGGUUGAAGAUGGGUAAGGCCCGCAGCAAAGGAAACUCCCAGGGGGACAAAGGUACAUUUAUAUUACUGUUGCUAUUUUUAGUGCAUUGACUAAAUCUUGCUGUUUGAAACUAAGGUUUUCACAAAUGUGAUAAUUGAAUAAACUGACGUGGUGAUUUAAAGUCUUGACUUUUCCUUUCAUAAUUAUCUGGAGCUUCCAAAGAUUGUGUACAUUACUUUUUUCCUGUGAUGUAACUUUUUGAAGUGGUUAAAUAACUUAGUGUGACAUGAGUAAGUUGCCUAAUGACGACAAGCCAUUAGCUGACGCUAGCUAAUUAUUUUUGGUAUUUAGAGAGAACCCGUUGAGCCCAGGGUCUCGUGCCGUGAUCACAGUAAUCCAAUGUUUAAAAAAAAUACAACACAAUUUAAGGAGAACUCGGGUCCUUAAUCCACUUGAAAUUGAUCAUCCACUUUAUGUAACUUGCUCCAGCAGUGAGGUGUGUUAAAUAAAGCCUGAUUUUAGUGGCUUCAGAAACUAUUCAUACCCCUUGCUUUAUUCGUGUUGCGUUAAAGCCUGACAUCAAAUAAGAUUACAUUGAUCUUUUUUACUCCCAUCUACAAAGGAUACCCCGUAACAACAGAAGUCAGUUUUUUUUUUGCACAUUUAUUGAAAUUAAAAUGAAUUGCUUGUAUGAAUACUGCAUUUUACACCCUUGAGUCAAUGCAUGUUAGAAUCACCGUUGGCAGUGAGUACAGCUGUCUUUCAGGGUGAGUUUGAGCUUUGCGCACAUGUUUUUUUUACAAUAUUUGCAGUUUAAGAACAAUGUCUUAUUUACAAUGAUGGCCUACCCUGGCCAAACUCUUCACCACACCGGGCCAACCUAUGGGACUCCCAAUCAUGACCGGUUGUGAUAGAGACCCGAAUCCGGGUCUGUAGGGACGCCUCGAGCACUGAGAUUCAGUGCCUUAGACCGCUGUCCAUUUCUAUGCACACAUUUUCAGGUUUUAGCAUAGAUAUUCAAGCUGAUUUAAAUAAAUGAACUGAGCCACUCAGGACCUUCCACUGUCUUGGAAAGCAACUCUAGUGUAGUUUUAAGUUAUUGCCCUGCUGAAAGGUGAAUUCAUCACCAGUGUCUGGUGUAAACCAGAUUUUCCGCUUGGAUUUAGCUUGUUUUAACUAUUCCAUUUCUUGAUUUAUCUGUAAACGCUACCCAGUCCUUAAUGAUUACAAGAAUACCUGUCACAUGAUGCAGCCACCUCUCUGCUUGAAUUGGAGUGUGGUACUAAGUAAUGUGUUCUAUUAGAUUUGCCCCAAACUUAAUGUAUUCAGGGCAAGAAACCUCCCUAGUCUUUGGUUAAAUCUGUAUUUCAAAUUCACUGCUCAACUGAGGGACCUUUUAAAGAGAAUAGAUUUUAUGUGUGGGGUAGAGAGAUCAGGAAGUCUCACACAAUUUUUUGAACACUUAUUCACUUAUUGCACACAGUGAGUCCACACCGAGCAGUUUGUCGUGGCCUUCGCUGAAUUUGUACUUUGGCUCAAAUGUGCAAAUAAGCCAUAAAUGUUAACAUCUAUAUGUGCUCAUUUGCUGAGAAUAUAUUUUCCCCAAAUAAAUGCAU
rnacentral:lncRNA from 13 species